UUCUGUGGGCCAUGGGAGGAGCAUUGAGAUAGUCACCAAGAGAAGCAGAAGCAGGACAGAAGCAGGAGAGAGAGGCAGGAGAGAGAAGGGGAGAAAAGAAGGUCAGAGAAGCCCAGAGUGAAGACUUGCCUGGGGCCUGGAGGCCUACCGGCCUCAUGGCUCCCAGACACCCCUGCCUGCUGUGUACCUGAUUGCUGCGAUGCAUGUAAAGCUCAAUAAAAGCCUGAGAAAGCCACCAAGGGCUCCAGGACUCUCCUUUACCCCAUCUGUGCAGAUCAUAGAAAAACCUGCUCAGUGCCCAUCCUGCCCCUACAAUUGGCGUAAGUCGGCAGGAUGAUUCGAAGCAGAUGGGUGUAGGGGCAGGAAUAACACUGCACAGGUUUUCUGAUCCAUGAGACCAGGUAAAGGAGGAGUCAGAGUCCUCAGUGGUGUUUGCAGGCUUUUAUUGGGAUUUACCAGGUACAUGGCAGGUAGGGGUGCUGGGGGGCCAGGAGGCUGGCAGGCUUCCCAGCCCCCAGCAAGUCUUCACUCUUUUUGGGCUUUCUGGUGUUCUCUCUCCCUCUCUCUCUCUCUCUCUCUCUCUCUCUCUCCCAGCUUCUCUGCUCCUGCUGCCGUCCCCGUGAUGCCAUCCUUAAAAGCCCAGUCUUAGCCCAGGUGAAUCCCAUCUACCUAUGCCCACACCCUACUCCAGGUGCCUGCCAUCAGGCAUGCAUUCAGGACUGCAGGGUUCCAUCAUCUAUCCUAAUGGCGGAGGACAGAAAAGCCUGAUACUUUUUACCUUACCCUACAAUGGGUAUGGAGCCCUCUGAAGACAUCAGGAGGGACUGAGGAGUAGCAGACUGUUUGUCCGUGACAACGCUGGACUUGUCAUGACAGCACAGAUGAACAACAUCCAGGAGCUGGGGAAAGAGCUAAAGAUGCUGCAAGAGCACAGGAGGUGGACAAGGGCCAGGAGCUGCGGGAGGAGACCUUGCCUGGAGGAGGAGACAGCCCAAGAGGAUCAGCCCAUGACAACUGAGGCGGCAGAAUUGUCUGGGAAGAAAGGACCAUGAUUUGGAGCUCACCAGUGCUGAUGCAGGAAAAGACUGAUGGACUUGGACUGACAAUCCCUCCAGAAGGUGGAGGAACUUUGGCAGGACUUGACUUUACCCAGGCUCUUUACUGGUGGCCCCUUUACUGCUGUGCUGUGAUGUUGCACUUCUUGCUUGACAACGAGCCCAUCCAGUCUGUCAUGCUGCCAGAUGAUCAACUCUCAGAAGCUUUGUCUUAAUUUAAUGUUUGUUUGUUUUUGAUAUGUCUGAUAAUUGAAAGAUCCAUGUGCA